rnacentral:rRNA from 1 species
AGUGAACGCUGGCGGUAGGCCUAACACAUGCAAGUCGAACGGCAGCACAGUAAGCGCUUGCUCUUACGGGUGGCGAGUGGCGGACGGGUGAGGAAUACAUCGGCAUCUACUUUUUCUUGGGGGAUAACGUAGGGAAACUUACGCUAAUACCUCAUACGACCUACGGGUUAAAGCAGGGGAUCUUCGGACCUUGCGCGAUUGAAUGAGCCGAUGUCGGAUUAGCUAGUUGGCGGGGUAAAGGCCCACCAAGGCGACGAUCCGUAGCUGGUCUGAGAGGAUGAUCAGCCACACUGGAACUGAGACACGGUCCAGACUCCUACGGGAGGCAGCAGUGGGGAAUAUUGGACAAUGGGCGAAAGCCUGAUCCAGCAAUACCGCGUGGGUGAAGAAGGCCUUCGGGUUGUAAAGCCCUUUUGUUGGGAAAGAAAAGAAGCAGGUUAAUACACCGAUGUUCUGACGGUACCUAAAGAAUAAGCAACGGCUAACUUCGUG